rnacentral:rRNA from 1 species
GGCCCAGACUCCUACGGGAGGCAGCAGUGGGGAAUUUUGGACAAUGGGGGCAACCCUGAUCCAGUCAUGCCGCGUGAGUGAAGAAAGCCUUCGGGUUGUAAAGCUCUUUCAGACGGAAAGAAAUCGGGCGGGCCAAUACCCUGCCUGGAUGACGGUACUGUCAGAAGAAGCACCGGCUAACUACGUGCCAGCAGCCGCGGUAAUACGUAGGGUGCGAGCGUUAAUCGGAAUUACUGGGCGUAAAGCGUGCGCAGGCGGUUGUGUAAGACAGGUGUGAAAUCCCCCGGCUUAACCUGGGAACUGCGCUUGUGACUGCACGGCUAGAGUACGGCAGAGGGGGGUGGAAUUCCACGUGUAGCAGUGAAAUGCGUAGAUAUGUGGAGGAACACCGAUGGCGAAGGCAGCCCCCUGGGCCGAUACUGACGCUCAUGCACGAAAGCGUGGGGAGCAAACAGGAUUAGAUACCCUGGUAGUCCACGCCCUAAACGAUGUCAACUAGUUGUUCGUAGAGGUAACUCUGUGAGUAACGCAGCUAACGCGUGAAGUUGACCGCCUGGGGAGUACGGCCGCAAGGUUAAAACUCAAAGGAAUUGACGGGGACCCGCACAAGCGGUGGAUGAUGUGGAUUAAUUCGAUGCAACGCGAAAAACCUUACCUACCCUUGACAUGCCUGGAAUCCUCGAGAGAUCGGGGAGUGCCUUCGGGAGCCAGGACACAGGUGCUGCAUGGCUGUCGUCAGCUCGUGUCGUGAGAUGUUGGGUUAAGUCCCGCAACGAGCGCAACCCUUGUCGCUAAUUGCCAGCAUUGAGUUGGGCACUUUAGCGAGACUGCCGGUGACAAACCGGAGGAAGGUGGGGAUGACGUCAAGUCCUCAUGGCCCUUAUGGGUAGGGCUUCACACGUCAUACAAUGGUCGGUACAGAGGGUUGCCAAGCCGCGAGGUGGAGCCAAUCCCUUAAAGCCGAUCGUAGUCCGGAUCGCAGUCUGCAACUCGACUGCGUGGAGUCGGAAUCGCUAGUAAUCGCAGAUCAGCAUGCUGCGGGUGAUACGUUCCCGGGUCUUGUACACACCG